AACGCGAAGAACCUUACCUACCCUUGACAUCCUCGGAACCUGGUAGAGAUAUCAGGGUGCCUUCGGGAACCGAGAGACAGGUGCUGCAUGGCUGUCGUCAGCUCGUGUCGUGAGAUGUUGGGUUAAGUCCCGUAACGAGCGCAACCCCUAUUCUUAGUUGCCAUCAGGUUAUGCUGGGAACUCUAAGGAGACUGCCGGUGAUAAGCCGGAGGAAGGUGGGGAUGACGUCAAGUCAUCAUGGCCCUCACGGGUAGGGCUACACACGUGCUACAAUGGGCGGUACAAAGGGAAGCGAAGUCGCAAGAUGGAGCGAAUCUCACUAAAGCCGUUCGUAGUCCGGAUUGGAGUCUGCAACUCGACUCCAUGAAGUUGGAAUCGCUAGUAAUCGCGGAUCAGAACGCCGCGGUGAAUACGUUCCCGGGCCUUGUACACACCGCAUAC
rnacentral:rRNA from 1 species